CGACAUAAACAAACCUUCGGGGGCGCUUAUGGGCGGCGAGCGGCGGACGGGUGAGUAAUGCCUGGGAAAUUGCCCUGAUGUGGGGGAUAACCAUUGGAAACGAUGGCUAAUACCGCAUGAUAGCUACGGCUCAAAGAGGGGGACCUUCGGGCCUCUCGCGUCAGGAUAUGCCCAGGUGGGAUUAGCUAGUUGGUGAGGUAAGGGCUCACCAAGGCGACGAUCCCUAGCUGGUCUGAGAGGAUGAUCAGCCACACUGGAACUGAGACACGGUCCAGACUCCUACGGGAGGCAGCAGUGGGGAAUAUUGCACAAUGGGCGCAAGCCUGAUGCAGCCAUGCCGCGUGUGUGAAGAAGGCCUUCGGGUUGUAAAGCACUUUCAGCAGUGAGGAAGGUAGUGUAUUUAAUAGAUGCAUUAUUUGACGUUAGCUGCAGAAGAAGCACCGGCUAACUCCGUGCCAGCAGCCGCGGUAAUACGGAGGGUGCGAGCGUUAAUCGGAAUUACUGGGCGUAAAGCGCAUGCAGGUGGUUGGUUAAGUCAGAUGUGAAAGCCCAGGGCUCAACCUUGGAAUCGCAUUUGAAACUGGCUGACUAGAGUACUGUAGAGGGGGGUAGAAUUUCAGGUGUAGCGGUGAAAUGCGUAGAGAUCUGAAGGAAUACCGG
rnacentral:rRNA from 1 species